ACUACAUUAAGGAAAAGUGUCUUGUGUGCAUUUCAGGCAAUGCAAUUCAAAUGCCAAAUUACUGAUGCAUUAUGGUCUACAUAAGCAAAUUUUCUUGCGUGAAAGAACAACUUAGCUCUAUAAUGUAUUUAUUGCUACGGUGGCCCUGAGAGGUCAGAUGUGCUGCAACUUAAGGAAACACCAGCAAGUAGAAAAACUCUACAAAAAUUCACAAAUGACAAGAAAAGUAAAAAAAAAACAAAAAAAACCCCAGAAAAAAACAAGUGUUUUUGGGGCGACAGCAACGUAACGAAACAGCUGCUGAUGAAGUAAGACACGUUUAAAAGAAGCAGAAGAUUCACAUAAUACCGUAGAUUCAGGUUUGCUAGUAGCCGUUUACUGUUAGCUUGUCACGUUAGCUGUUCUGUCAUGACAUUGUCUCCCCAAAAACACUGACAUUGUCUUUUGUGAGUUACGUCUUUUUAUUUUGGAGGUUUUUUUAAUUUCUUAACCUUUCAUAAUGUUUUUUAAAUUUCUGUUUUAUUCACUUCCAUUCUGUUUUGUGUGCUUUUGUGUCAUUUUUCUAUCUGCUUGUGUUUCCUCAAGUUGCAGUGCGUUUGGGCUUUCAGGGCCACCAUAGACUAAGCCUAAAAGUUACUUUAGUCCAGAGAGGAAUAUAGCCACAACUUGAAUGUAUGGACGUCUUUGGCGCACCAUCACAGAAGUGUCAUUGUUUCAUUCUUUGUAAAGUCACACCAGGCUGCCAGCUUCGCUAGUGUCCGCCAGUUUGGUCCACCAUAAUCUUGUUGUCAAGGUCUUCUGCAGCAUUUUGUUAACCGGUCGAGAAGCCGGUGACAUGAAACAAAAUCCAUAUGUGUCUCUCUACCCUUUACCCGAGCCACAGACUUUUCCAUACAGUGCCACUGUGCAGACUGGACAGUGUGGGGACCAAUAUACUGCACAAUGACCAGAGAAGACAGGGAGGGGGGUGCAGAACCUCAGGGAGAGCUGAUUCGGGAUUCAUUUGGAUGAUGAACUGUACCUCCAAAAACUUUCACCUGCUAUUUUAGCAAAACAUAUUUGGACUUUUAGACACUCAGAGGACUGAGUUGUGUUUUUUACAACAUGUCUUCAUUUCUGCUAUAUCAUCAGUAAUAUCUGUUCUUCAGGUAGUAAGUUAGUUUCAAAGACCUAGGAGGUGGAAAGUUUUUGCUAAAAACACUGAACCUUGCCAGUUUCUUCAGUCAUUCACGUCAUUUAUAUUAAUUAAGAGUUAAUGCAUCUGAGAAGCUCUCAAGAGGGCCUCUUGACAAACAUGUUGCAUCAAAAUAACACAGAGAGGCUUCUCUAGUAAUUUGAACUCAAACGUAAAGAAGGCUCACUGUUCUGUUUGUAUUUUGAAAGAUCAAUGUGGGUGAAAGAACUUCGCUUUGUUUAUCGUAUCCUAGCGAGCCGUGUGAACGAAGCACUAAUGUUCUUCUGACUCAUUUUUGGAGGUGACUAAGCAGCUUCAAGUGCAUUACAGUCCUCUGUAAGGUGCAGUAAGAUGGAUCUGAUUUGCAUUUAGCCAAUGAAUACAAAAACACACAUUCCGUUUAUACCCAAAACACCGACUUUAAGUAAUUUGAUUACAUGUAUUCCUUCCAGUGUAAUUUGAUUACAUAAGGAGGAGGGAGUAUAAUGUAAAAUGUUAAAUUUAAUCAAGUCUAGUCAGAUGAAAUCUGCCUGAUUGGCAUAUAUUCAGUUUAUACUAAGCAUAUCUUCCUUAAUAAUUAAUUAUCUGAAUAAGCAAAUACAUAUUCGAUUUUAUAUAUUUCAGUUGCAUUUUACUCAAAAUGAUUGCUUCUUUUAUGAGGUCGAAUCUUUUUGGGUGUAGAAGUGGAAAUGAGAACUGAUUCAAUCAAAAGCACGCAUUCCUUUCCGAUUUGCCUUCAACUAAUCUUCCUAACCUGCUGGUUUUGACUUCGUUGCAUGUUAGGUGAGCACAGUGAGCUGAAAUAAUGGUCAAAAUUACAGUUACAAUUUACAACAGCCAUUUCUAAAACAAACAAAACCAGAGAUAUCCUUUAUUUAUCAUUCGGGCGGAAUAAAAAGUCUCGAAUGAUUAUUUCUCCGGUGCACCUAAAAUGACUUGAACCAGUUUAGGAAUGAGAAUUACUAAAUUAUAUGCGCUGUGUUCUCCCUAGCAUUUAUCUCUAAUGUGCAAACUUUCUGAGCCGCUUUUCCCCAGAACACAUGUAUUAACAGUCGCCAUAUUUUCAGAGCAGUAUCGUUUUAGGCAGACAUUUUAUAAGCAAUUAGCAUGCUAUACCAAUAAGUGACCCUGUGCACCGUUCUAAUUAUAUGGUCUAUUCCUCUGUCUUGAUUGGCUCCAGGUGUCUCAUCUCUGCUGAUUCAAAGCUUUGCUUUGGCUGAUUGGUCAAAAUCAAAGUGAUGAUUCUCCUGAUUUGUCUUAUUUCAGAGUUCUGGAGUGCUGUGCCGACUAAACCACUUGACAGAGCUGAUUAUCUCACCUCCUGAGCCCGGCAAAUUGGUUCAAUCAAAAGCGUGAUUAGUUGAAUCAGUUGUUUUAAAUAGAAUAAAAGCCUGAAGUCUCCACAGCACUGCGUGGCUCUUUUUUUCACUCUUUUAGCCAGCUUAGGUGCACCAACAGAGGAAAGCGGUCCAUUUAUCACAUCUUCCACUGAAUGAGCCUCGAUACUUAGGACAGUGAAGCUCCACUUAAAGGACGGGCACAGAUACCUUAGUAUCUAGUUAAUGUAUGUAGCUCAAAGAUGCAGAGUAAAGGUCAUGACCUCUGGCCUCUGACUCUAAACAGAUCGACCCUCACUGGUUCUGCACCCACCUUCCCCCCGUGACUUCAUUGCUCCUGCACGAUGUUGAUACAAUUCCACAAUUGCGUGCUGAACAAAGUGUAUUUAUUUCUGUUGUACUUUUUCUUUUUGUAAAUUUGAAUAAAAAAGGAACUAUUUCAA
ensembl:lncRNA